UCGACUGUACUCGAACAGGAUCACUUAUGUAGUGAUUACCUUUCGUUCACAAGAGUACUCUUGACAAAACCCUAAACCGUGAUGAGGAGUUGUAUACCCCACCCUAAUGGAGGUGUAGUCAGUACAGUCAUGUACUCGACUUCGAUGAUCCAUCCCGUAUGGGACUGGGGUGUGGGUAUUGCUGAGCGGUU
rfam:Perkinsus marinus ATCC 50983 gcontig_1104296565242, whole genome shotgun sequence.